GGCAAUUGAGGCGGCCUAACACAUGCAAGUCGAGCGGUAGAGAGAAGCUUGCUUCUCUUGAGAGCGGCGGACGGGUGAGUAAUGCCUAGGAAUCUGCCUGGUAGUGGGGGAUAACGUUCGGAAACGGACGCUAAUACCGCAUACGUCCUACGGGAGAAAGCAGGGGACCUUCGGGCCUUGCGCUAUCAGAUGAGCCUAGGUCGGAUUAGCUAGUUGGUGAGGUAAUGGCUCACCAAGGCGACGAUCCGUAACUGGUCUGAGAGGAUGAUCAGUCACACUGGAACUGAAACACGGUCCAGACUCCUACGGGAGGCAGCAGUGGGGAAUAUUGGACAAUGGGCGAAAGCCUGAUCCAGCCAUGCCGCGUGUGUGAAGAAGGUCUUCGGAUUGGAAAGCACUUUAAGUUGGGAGGAAGGGUUGUGA
rnacentral:rRNA from 1 species